rnacentral:tRNA from 1 species
GCCUUCGUGGUGUAAUGGUCAGCACGCUCGGCGCGUGUUCUAGAGGUCAGAGGUUCGAGUCCCGGCGAGAGCA